rnacentral:lncRNA from 1 species
UUGGAUUGGACGAUUCCUUAAAUACAACAUUCAAAAGAAGAAACCAAAACAAAACGUUCAAGGAGGUGCAAUCAAUGGAGGAGUCUGUUCGCGUCAAGCACAUCAAACGCAAAAACAUUAGGAAAAGAAGGGUUCAUGAAGAAGAAGACGAAGGCGAGGAUUCAAAAACCGAAUCUUGUUUGAUUUACAAUCAGAAAAGAUCCUAAAAUUUUGACGGUAAGCUUUUUUUUUUUUUUUUUCAAGAAUUCAUAAGUUAAAUCUGAUGGAACAAUCUUUCAAUUUAUGUCUUGAAAGGAAAUUCAGUUUCAUCAUGAUAGCAGCGCAACGGCAGCUCUAGAAACUGAAAUUUGUAUAAAAAGGUAUAAUAGUGAUUAUAAAGCAAGCGAUAGCCUUCAUGGACCACAAAGGGCUUGUGCUCAUGUUAGGGUAACAUCUAGGGUUGAUUAUCAGCCUGAUAUAUGCAAACUGGUCGUUGUGGGUACAGAGAUGCAUGUAAGUGUAUGCAUGAUCGAGGUGAUCAGAGAUCUUGUUGGCGGAUGGAGAAUGAACGGAAUGAGGAAAAGAAGAUGAGACGGUGAAAUUUGGUUUAAUAGGCAUAUGAAUUAAUCUUUUUUUAUAUGUGAUACAUGCAUCUAUAAUUUUCUGUAGACUUUGUAAGAUUUUUGCUUCUCAUCGGUUCUUAUUUAAGAGGAAGUUUUUUUUUUUUUUAUUGAUUCCUUAAUCCGUUUCUGCUAUUAAAUAUUAGUAAAUUCAUACAAUUAUAGAACAGUAGGCAUUUGUUAAGGGUGAGUCUAACUCUGUAGCUGUAGUUGUACAAUUGAAAAAAUAACGAAAUUUUUCUUGCAGCUAGAGAUAUUUGGUCUUUAUUUUGAUGUGUAUGUAGUGUUGAAUAACAGCUACAAAUACAGAUUUAAGAGUUAAAUUUGUUUAUAACAUUUACUUAUGUACAUCAACUCUCUUGAUUCUAGGUCAUAUUUAUACAUUGGUUAGAGACUUCACUUCACACAGUCAUUACUUUCUUGGCCACUAAUGUACUGCUCUCUAAAUUGUUUUCGUUGUUCCAUGAAUGCGGUGACGGUGAAGCGAGCAGAGGCCAGAUCAAACUUCUUUCUUUUCUUGCUUUGAGAACAAGAGCUUUUGUAUUUUGUCUUAGAACACUAUUCACAGCCUUCAAGUAGUUGCUUGAAUCAUGAUCUCUUAAGAUUGUACCUU